UACAGUUAAGGAUGUCGCCAUAAAAAGGCCGGGUGUUCGGCCACAGUGCCUUGAAUAUCUGUUUCAAUUUAGUAUAUCUGCAAAUACUACAAUUCGCAAAAAUGCAAUUAGAGUUCUGAGAUUAUUAUCUGAAUUCAAACCAUAUUUUAAAGAAAAAAUCAAGGUUUUUAUUUCGUUAAUUUCAGAAUUUUGCUUGUGGAAAAUUUUCCCAAUUAACAAAUAUGCUUCCCUUUGAAAGUGAAAACGAUGCACAAAUUUUUGGAUUUGAUAAUAAUGUAUGGAAUGAAUCUAUUUUGGAAGGUUUUUCGUCUUUAUUUUUGUCUCUCUUACCAGAAAACACAGAUCUACUAACAUGCCUAGUAACUGUUUUCUCAAAUUGUUGCGCGGAUAAUAAAACCUUCUUAUUGCGUCAAGUAUACUAUUCAGUAAAAUUAAUUGGAAUAAACUGUCAUAAAUUACUCGAGAUUAUCGCAAAUCAUCCAAUUGGCUCAGUUAUGCUAAUACUAAGGAUUGU